UGGUACCUGGAAAGAAGUUGCCCAUGUUAUUUUCGCUUUAUAUGUGACGAAACAAACAUGGUGCACUUCUUUUUCGGUAUCA
rnacentral:pre_miRNA from 1 species